AAGUCCUGCUGGGGGAGCUUCGGCUGAGAGGAGGCCCACUUCGGGUCUCGACCCCUUGAACCUGCUCAGGGUAAUGCCUGCGUAGGGAAGCAGUUCGCCGUUUUC
rnacentral:ncRNA from 1 species